rnacentral:rRNA from 1 species
UACGUAGGGUGCAAGCGUUAAUCGGAAUUACUGGGCGUAAAGCGUGCGCAGGCGGUUUUGUAAGACAGGUGUGAAAUCCCCGGGCUUAACCUGGGAACUGCAUUUGUGACUGCAAAGCUGGAGUGCGGCAGAGCGGGAUGGAAUUCCGCGUGUAGCAGUGAAAUGCGUAGAUAUGCGGAGGAGCACCGAUGGCGAAGGCAAUCCCCUGGGCCUGCACUGACGCUCAUGCACGAAAGCGUGGGGAGCAAACAGG